rnacentral:lncRNA from 1 species
GCCAGGGAGUCGGAGAAGGGGGCGCGCCUCCCGUCGGCGUUGCCGCGGGUUCCCCAAGGCUUUGUUCCUUUGUUCUGGGCCGGGCUAGCUGAAUGCGGGGUAGCCCGCCUUUCUGGUGUGCCCCGCAACUGGUGCGUCUGGUCGCCAGGGGAAGUAGGAGAUCGCAGACCCUGUGGAGGGCGGGUGGCCAGACUCUAGGACCUCCUGACUACUCUGUAGGAGUCUGAGGUGCGACUGUAAGACGUGUGCUGUAAAGUGAGUGCAUCCUGUAUCUGGUAGGCCAAUCUCGGAGAGAUUAAGAUACCACUCUGGAAGGAGAGCUGGACAUCCGAGCCCCAAACUGAAGCUGCCUAGGUAUCCACGUGUCCCAAGUUCUAGCGGAAAACAUAGCGCUCCUGGGAUGGCAGGUCUGUCCUUUGCAGACUCUGCCAGUCUCCAUGAGGGACAUCUUCUACUCCCACCAUCUAGUUUUCUGGAAUCAGUGACCUUCAAGGAUGUGGUCGUGAACUUCACUCAGGAAGAAUGGAAACACUUGGAUCCUACACAGAGAGAUUUGUUCAGAGAUGUGACAUUGGAAAAUUAUACACAUCUGGUCUCUAUAGGGCUCCAGGUUUCCAAACCUGAUAUGAUCUCCCAUC